UGGGGAAUAUUGCACAAUGGGCGCAAGCCUGAUGCAGCCAUGCCGCGUGUGUGAAGAAGGCCUUCGGGUUGUAAAGUACUUUCAGCGGGGAGGAAGGGAGUAAAGUUAAUACCUUUGCUCAUUGACGUUACCCGCAGAAGAAGCACCGGCUAACUCCGUGCCAGCAGCCGCGGUAAUACGGAGGGUGCAAGCGUUAAUCGGAAUUACUGGGCGUAAAGCGCACGCAGGCGGUUGGUUAAGUCAGAUGUGAAAUCCCCGGGCUCAACCUGGGAACUGCAUCUGAUACUGGCAAGCUUGAGUCUCGUAGAGGGGGGUAGAAUUCCAGGUGUAGCGGUGAAAUGCGUAGAGAUCUGGAGGAAUACCGGUGGCGAAGGCGGCCCCCUGGACGAAGACUGACGCUCAGGUGCGAAAGCGUGGGGAGCAAACAGG
rnacentral:rRNA from 1 species